GCUGGCGCAAUGGUAGCGCGCCAGACUUCUAAUCUGGAGGGUAAGCAACUCUCUUGCA
rnacentral:tRNA from 1 species